GAUGAACGCUGGCGGCGUGCCUAAUACAUGCAAGUCGAGCGAACGGACGAGAAGCUUGCUUCUCUGAUGUUAGCGGCGGACGGGUGAGUAACACGUGGAUAACCUACCUAUAAGACUGGGAUAACUUCGGGAAACCGUAGCUAAUACCGGAUAAUAUUUUGAACCGCAUGGUUCAAAAGUGAAAGACGGUCUUGCUGUCACUUAUAGAUGGAUCCGCGCUGCAUUAGCUAGUUGGUAAGGUAACGGCUUACCAAGGCAACGAUGCAUAGCCGACCUGAGAGGGUGAUCGGCCACACUGGAACUGAGACACGGUCCAGACUCCUACGGGAGGCAGCAGUAGGGAAUAUUCCGCAAUGGGCGAAAGCCUGACGGAGCAACGCCGCGUGGGUGAUGAAGGUCUUCGGAUCGUAAAACUCUGUUAUUAGGGAAGAACAUAUGUGUAAGUAACUGUGCACAUCUUGACGGUACCUAAACAGAAAGCACCGGCUAACUACGUG
rnacentral:rRNA from 1 species